AAGAUGUAACGGGGCUAAACCAUGCACCGAAGCUGCGGCAGCGACGCUUAUGCGUUGUUGGGUAGGGGAGCGUUCUGUAAGCCUGUGAAGGUGUGUCGUGAGGCAUGCUGGAGGUAUCAGAAGUGCGAAUGCUGACAUAAGUAACGAUAAAGCGGGUGAAAAGCCCGCUCGCCGGAAGACCAAGGGUUCCUGUCCAACGUUAAUCGGGGCAGGGUGAGUCGACCCCUAAGGCGAGGCCGAAAGGCGUAGUCGAUGGGAAACGGGUUAAUAUUCCCGUACUUGGUGUUACUGCGAAGGGGGGACGGAGAAGGCUAUGUUGGCCGGGCGACGGUUGUCCCGGUUUAAGCGUGUAGGUGUGUGUUCCAGGUAAAUCCGGUUCACUUUAACACUGAGGCGUGAUGACGAGGCACUACGGUGCUGAAGUAACAAAUGCCCUGCUUCCAGGAAAAGCCUCUAAGCAUCAGGUAACAUCAAAUCGUACCCCAAACCGACACAGGUGGUCAGGUAGAGAAUACCAAGGCGCUUGAGAGAACUCGGGUGAAGGAACUAGGCAAAAUGGUGCCGUAACUUCGGGAGAAGGCACGCUGACACGUAGGUGAAGUGAUUUACUCACGGAGCUGAAGUCAGUCGAAGAUACCAGCUGGCUGCAACUGUUUAUUAAAAACACAGCACUGUGCAAACACGAAAGUGGACGUAUACGGUGUGACGCCUGCCCGGUGCCGGAAGGUUAAUUGAUGGGGUCAGCGCAAGCGAAGCUCCUGAUCGAAGCCCCGGUAAACGGCGGCCGUAACUAUAACGGUCCUAAGGUAGCGAAAUUCCUUGUCGGGUAAGUUCCGACCUGCACGAAUGGCGUAAUGAUGGCCAGGCUGUCUCCACCCGAGACUCAGUGAAAUUGAACUCGCUGUGAAGAUGCAGUGUACCCGCGGCAAGACGGAAAGACCCCGUGAACCUUUACUAUAGCUUGACACUGAACAUUGAGCCUUGAUGUGUAGGAUAGGUGGGAGGCUUUGAAGUGUGGACGCCAGUCUGCAUGGAGCCGACCUUGAAAUACCACCCUUUAAUGUUUGAUGUUCUAACGUGGACCCGUUACCCGGGUUGCGGACAGUGUCUGGUGGGUAGUUUGACUGGGGCGGUCUCCUCCUAAAGAGUAACGGAGGAGCACGAAGGUUGGCUAAUCCUGGUCGGACAUCAGGAGGUUAGUGCAAUGGCAUAAGCCAGCUUGACUGCGAGCGUGACGGCGCGAGCAGGUGCGAAAGCAGGUCAUAGUGAUCCGGUGGUUCUGAAUGGAAGGGCCAUCGCUCAACGGAUAAAAGGUACUCCGGGGAUAACAGGCUGAUACCGCCCAAGAGUUCAUAUCGACGGCGGUGUUUGGCACCUCGAUGUCGGCUCAUCACAUCCUGGGGCUGAAGUAGGUCCCAAGGGUAUGGCUGUUCGCCAUUUAAAGUGGUACGCGAGCUGGGUUUAGAACGUCGUGAGACAGUUCGGUCCCUAUCUGCCGUGGGCGCUGGAGAACUGAGGGGGGCUGCUCCUAGUACGAGAGGACCGGAGUGGACGCAUCACUGGUGUUCGGGUUGUCAUGCCAAUGGCACUGCCCGGUAGCUAAAUGCGGAAGAGAUAAGUGCUGAAAGCAUCUAAGCACGAAACUUGCCCCGAGAUGAGUUCUCCCUGAGACUUUAGGUCUCCUGAAGGAACGUUGAAGACGACGACGUUGAUAGGCCGGGUGUGUAAGCGCAGCGAUGCGUUGAGCUAACCGGUACUAAUGAACCGUGAGGCUUAACCUUACAACGCCG
rnacentral:rRNA from 1 species